rnacentral:lncRNA from 1 species
GCAAUUGCUUAUAUACCCCUAAAAAGUUCUCAACUUUCUGAUUUACCCCUCUUAGAAGGCUAAUAUUGAAAAUACCCUUUCUACGUUCCAAUCUAUUUCUAAUAUACCCAUAGAGUUAAAAUCUGUUAAUUAAUUCUAUUAUCUUUGUAAAAUUACUAUUUUGCCCUUUCAAAUAUACCCUUUCACCAUCACUGACUUUCUUAUUUGCCCUUAAAGUCAGGGGCAUAAAAAGUACUUUGACUUUUGGUCCUUUUCAAUAUACCCCUCUACCGUCACCAACAUUUCAUAUUUGCCCUUAAGUUAAAGGCAAAAUUGGCAUUUUAAUUUUUUUUAACUGUGGUAGAUAUUUAACUCACUUUUAACUCAAGUUAACUUAACAGGAGAUAACUGCGGGGGUAUUUUGCAAUAACGGUGAAACAUAUGAGGGAUAUUUUAGAAAGAAAAAAAAGUAAGGACAAAUCGGAUAUUUUCAAACGUAUGAGAGGUAUAUAGGCAAUUAUCUCUAGAGAUUAAGGAGCAAUUUAGUUAGAUGUAAUUAAAUAUACAAUAUAAUUAAAAAUAUAUAUUAUUUAAAAUGCAGUAAUUAUAAUUAAAUGCACUUUAUUUGGUUGGAUGUAGUAAAAAAGAGUUG